UUAUCAAUAAGCGGAGGAAAAGAAACCAACAGGGAUUGCCUCAGUAACGGCGAGUGAAGCGGCAAGAGCUCAAAUUUGAAAGCUGGCCCCUUCGGGGUCCGCGUUGUAAUUUGCAGAGGAUGCUUCGGGUGCAGCCCCCGUCUAAGUGCCCUGGAACGGGCCGUCAUAGAGGGUGAGAAUCCCGUCUGGGACGGGGUGUCUGCGUCCGUGUGAAGCUCCUUCGACGAGUCGAGUUGUUUGGGAAUGCAGCUCUAAAUGGGUGGUAAAUUUCAUCUAAAGCUAAAUACUGGCCGGAGACCGAUAGCGCACAAGUAGAGUGAUCGAAAGAUGAAAAGCACUUUGAAAAGAGAGUUAAACAGCACGUGAAAUUGUUGAAAGGGAAGCGUUUGCGACCAGACUCGCCCGCGGGGUUCAGCCGGCAUUCGUGCCGGUGUACUUCCCCGUGGGCGGGCCAGCGUCGGUUUGGGCGGCCGGUCAAAGGCCCUCGGAAUGUAUCACCUCUCGGGGUGUCUUAUAGCCGAGGGUGCAAUGCGGCCUGCCUGGACCGAGGAACGCGCUUCGGCUCGGACGCUGGCGUAAUGGUCGUAAAUGAA
rnacentral:rRNA from 1 species